GACGAACGCUGGCGGCGUGCUUAACACAUGCAAGUCGAACGGAAAGGCCCUGCUUUUGUGGGGUGCUCGAGUGGCGAACGGGUGAGUAACACGUGAGUAACCUGCCCUUGACUUUGGGAUAACUUCAGGAAACUGGGGUAAUUACCGGAAAGGAGCUCCGCCGGAAUGGGGGGGGUGGGAAAGUUUCGGCGGUUGGGGAUGGACUCGCGGCUUAUCAGCUUGUUGGUGGGGUAGUGGCUUACCAAGGCUUUGACGGGUAGCCGGCCUGAGAGGGUGACCGGCCACAUUGGGACUGAGAUACGGCCCAGACUCCUACGGGGGGCAGCAGUGGGGAAUAUUGCACAAUGGGCGGAAGCCUGAUGCAGCAACGCCGCGUGCGGGAUGACGGCCUUCGGGUUGUAAACCGCUUUCGCCUGUGACGAAGCGUGAGUGACGGUAAUGGGUAAAGAAGCACCGGCUAACUACGUG
rnacentral:rRNA from 1 species